GACGAACGCUGGCGGCGUGCUUAACACAUGCAAGUCGAGCGGUAAGGCCCUUUCGGGGUACGACGAGCGGCGAACGGGUGAGUAACACGUGGGUGACCUGCCCUCAGCUCUGGGAUAAGCCUCGGGAAACCGGGGUCUAAUACCGGAUAUGACUCCAUGACGCAUGUUGUGGGGUGGAAAGUCUUGUGCGGCUGAGGAUGGGCCCGCGGCCUAUCAGCUUGUUGGUGGGGUGAUGGCCUACCAAGGCGACGACGGGUAGCCGGCCUGAGAGGGCGACCGGCCGACACUGGGACUGAGACACGGCCCAGACUCCUACGGGAGGCAGCAGUGGGGAAUCUUGCGCAAUGGGCGAAAGCCUGACGCAGCGACGCCGCGUGAGGGAUGACGGCCUC
rnacentral:rRNA from 1 species